GAUGAACGCUAGCUACAGGCUUAACACAUGCAAGUCGAGUGGAAACGACAUCGAAAGCUUGCUUUUGAUGGGCGUCGACCGGCGCACGGGUGAGUAACGCGUAUCCAACCUGCCCACCACUUGGGGAUAACCUUGCGAAAGUAAGACUAAUACCCAAUGACGUCUCUAGAAGACAUCUGAAAGAGAUUAAAGAUUUAUCGGUGAUGGAUGGGGAUGCGUCUGAUUAGCUUGUUGGCGGGGUAACGGCCCACCAAGGCGACGAUCAGUAGGGGUUCUGAGAGGAAGGUCCCCCACAUUGGAACUGAGACACGGUCCAAACUCCUACGGGAGGCAGCAGUGAGGAAUAUUGGUCAAUGGACGAGAGUCUGAACCAGCCAAGUAGCGUGCAGGAUGACGGCCCUAUGGGUUGUAAACUGCUUUUAUAAGGGAAUAAAGUGAGUCUCGUGAGACUUUUUGCAUGUACCUUAUGAAUAAGGACCGGCUAAUUCCGUG
rnacentral:rRNA from 1 species